rnacentral:rRNA from 1 species
AUUGAACGCUGGCGGCAUGCCUUACACAUGCAAGUCGAACGGCAGCACGGGUGCUUGCACCUGGUGGCGAGUGGCGAACGGGUGAGUAAUACAUCGGAACAUGUCCUGUAGUGGGGGUAGCCCGGCGAAAGCCGGAUUAAUACCGCAUACGAUCUACGGAUGAAAGCGGGGGACCUUCGGGCCUCGCGCUAUAGGGUUGGCCGAUGGCUGAUUAGCUAGUUGGUGGGGUAAAGGCCUACCAAGGCGACGAUCAGUAGCUGGUCUGAGAGGACGACCAGCCACACUGGGACUGAGACGCGGCCCAGACUCCUACGGGAGGCAGCAGUGGGGAAUUUUGGACAAUGGGCGAAAGCCUGAUCCAGCAAUGCCGCGUGUGUGAAGAAGGCCUUCGGGUUGUAAAGCACUUUUGUCCGGAAAGAAAUCCUUGGCCCUAAUACGGUCGGGGGAUGACGGUACCGGAAGAAUAAGCACCGGCUAACUACGU